GGAAAGUGCCAUGUAGGAGAAGGCCAGGAUGUAAGGGGCAUCUGAAUUAGGCAUCUGUGUAUACAUUCUGCCUCCAAAACAAUUCCCGACUUCUUUUUUAGAAGCAGGACUCUGAGACAAGGACUUUAAGUGCAAUAACUUAUUUGGGAAGUGUUCCUAGGAAAUACUCCUGGAGGAAUGAGAAAGUGAUCCAGGGAAGAUAAGGCAGCCAGUAUAUAAUGUGCAUUCAAAUAAUUCAACAUGCGAAUGGGCAACUGAAGUUUAUUCCCUCUGGGAAGCUCCAGGAGGCAGCGCGGAAUAUACACCUCAAGUCACUCCGGCACAGCGGCAAGAGACCCGGGACGUAGUACGCCAGCUCCUGACAGUGAGUGGGUGAGGACAGUAGGGCUCAGUGAGGACAAACAACAUGAUUAUGGCAACCUGUGGACAGAAAGAACUGCGCUUUAGAGACCUAACUACUCAUGGCUCUUGGCCCUACAGCAGGGUGUUGUCUCUUCAAAUAUUUGACUAUAUCCAAAUCUUGUUGGCACCUUCAUGUACUAGACUCUUCUUCUGGGACAGAGGAACCCAUGAUUUGCCUUCAUCAAAGGACAAACAAAGAGGGUGCCAUCUGUGAAUCAGGAAGUGGGGCCUUACCAGACACUAAAUCUGCCAGUGCACUGAUCCUGGACUUCCCAGCCUUCAGAACCAUGAGAGAUACAUUUCUGUUGUUUCUAUGACAUUUUGUUAUAACGGCCCAAACAGAAUAAACAGGCUUGGAGCAGAC
rnacentral:lncRNA from 1 species